GGUUAAGUUAGAAAGGGCGCACGGUGGAUGCCUUGGCACUAGGAGCCGAAGAAGGACGGGACUAACACCGAUAUGCUUUGGGGAGCUGUACGUAAGCGUUGAUCCAGAGAUUUCCGAAUGGGGGAACCCACUAUCUUUAGUCGGAUAGUAUCCUUACGUGAAUACAUAGCGUGAGGAAGGCAGACCCAGGGAACUGAAACAUCUAAGUACCUGGAGGAAGAGAAAGAAAAAUCGAUUUCCUGAGUAGCGGCGAGCGAAACGGAAAGAGCCCAAACCAAGAAGCUUGCUUCUUGGGGUUGUAGGACACUCUAUACGGAGUUACAAAAGAAAGUUAUAAAUGAAGCGGUCUGGAAAGGCCCGCCAAAGACGGUAACAGCCCGGUAGUUGAAAUGGCUUUCCCUCCAGAGUGGAUCCUGAGUACGGCGGAACACGUGAAAUUCCGUCGGAAUCCGGGAGGACCAUCUC
rnacentral:rRNA from 1 species